rnacentral:rRNA from 1 species
CCUACGGGAGGCAGCAGUGGGGAAUAUUGCACAAUGGGGGAAACCCUGAUGCAGCGACGCCACGUGAGUGAAGAAGUAUUUCGGUAUGUAAAGCUCUAUCAGCAGGGAAGAGAAUGACGGUACCUGAGUAAGAAGCCCCGGCUAACUACGUGCCAGCAGCCGCGGUAAUACGUAGGGGGCAAGCGUUAUCCGGAUUUACUGGGUGUAAAGGGAGCGUAGACGGCGAAGAAAGUCUGAAGUGAAAGCCCGCGGCUCAACCGCGGAACUGCUUUGGAAACUUUUUUGCUGGAGUACCGGAGAGGUAAGUGGAAUUCCUAGUGUAGCGGUGAAAUGCGUAGAUAUUAGGAGGAAAACCAGUGGCGAAGGCGGCUUACUGGACGGUAACUGACGUUGAGGCUCGAAAGCGUGGGGAGCAAACAGGAUUAGAUACCCCUGUAGUC